AGCGAACGCUGGCGGCAGGCCUAACACAUGCAAGUCGAACGAAGCCUUCGGGCUUAGUGGCGGACGGGUGAGUAACACGUAGGAACGUACCUUUUGGUUCGGAACAACUCAGGGAAACUUGAGCUAAUACCGGAUGAGCCCUUAGGGGGAGAGAUUUAUCGCCGAAAGAGCGGCCCGCGUUAGAUUAGCUAGUUGGUGAGGUAAAGGCUCACCAAGGCUACGAUCUAUAGCUGGUCUGAGAGGAUGAUCAGCCACACUGGGACUGAGACACGGCCCAGACUCCUACGGGAGGCAGCAGUGGGGAAUCUUGCGCAAUGGGCGAAAGCCUGACGCAGCCAUGCCGCGUGAAUGAUGAAGGUUUUAGGAUUGUAAAAUUCUUUUACCAGGGACGAUAAUGACGGUACCUGGAGAAAAAGCCCCGGCUAACUUCGUGCCAGCAGCCGCCGUAAUAC
rnacentral:rRNA from 1 species